AUGAUGAGUCACCAAGCACUAGAGCAACUCCAACGCGCUGACCUAUUUCAUCCGAGAGCAUUCAUUUGGAUCGCCGUGGAUAGAAAAGUCGGCCCAACACGCCAAUUCAAACGGACACGCGUCCACUUUCCGUCCGCCUAUCGAUCCAUUCCCGACUCAAUUUUGUACCUCAUUUGCGUCAACGCGAACACGGCGCGGAUGUGCGCGGCGUGCCUACCCCUCCUUCUGGCCCACCAGUUGGUGGCAAAGCGACCGGCAUUUUCAUCCAAUUUCCCAAAACCUCCCGCCCGCUCGUGCUCCCAGCCGCGCGCCAUGGAUGAAGACCUCGAUGCCACCGCCGGCCUCGCCUCCCUCGCCUCGUCUGGCGUCGCCACCGUCCCCUCCGGCAAAGGCAACCCUUGCGCCGCCCUCAAGACCGCGGCGCCGCCCAAGAAGAAGAAGAAGAAGAAGAAGAAGAAGCUGACAUUCGCGGAGCGGGCCGUGCAGUCGACCAAGAGGAAGGACAGGAGGCACGCGGUGGACGCAAGGGACGAAGCAAUGACCGUCGCCGCCCUCAUCGCCGCCGCACAGCAGGAGGAUACCAAUGCCCGAGUGGCGGCGGCAACGAGCGAGGCCCUGCUCUACCUAGGGUUAAACCCUGGCCACCACAGGCUCGUCAACACCGUCGUGGCCGCAGCCAGCACCGGCUCGUCCGAAUUUCCUCGGAUCGUGCUGCCAGAGUCGCCGCACGUGUCUGCCACACACUCGAUUCCCGGCUUCCACGUCUAUCUGCAACGAUCCCGACUCUCCGGGAAUGCUUGCCGGAGGUGA
rnacentral:rRNA from 1 species